GAUCAUGGCUCAGGAUGAACGCUGGCGGCGUGCUUAACACAUGCAAGUCGAGCGAAGCAAUUUAAGUGAAGUUUUCGGAUGGAUCUUAGAUUGACUGAGCGGGCGGACGGGUGAAGGUAACGCGUGGAUAACCUGCCUCACACAGGGGGAUAACAGUUAGAAAUGACUGCUAAUACCGCAUAAGCGCACGGUACCGCAUGGUGCAGUGUGAAAAACUCCGGU
rnacentral:rRNA from 1 species